rnacentral:lncRNA from 1 species
UGAGUUUAGGUCCUCCUUUGGUCAUUUUCAUGUUUUUCUCUACCCACCCUUCAAGUUUUCAUGAGAUCUACCCUUGUUUUGAAGAUUUGAAACCCAAAUAGAAGUUUUGGAGCUUGGAGGCUUUUGGAGCUUGGAUCCUCCACACCUCCGAGUUAGGGAUCACACCACCCCUCGAUCUUCAAGAGGUAAGUGUAGAUCCUUGCUUCCCUACUAUUUUUAAUGAAGUUUUAGUAAGUUUAAUGAUGUUUUGAUGGUUGAGUAUGGGUAGAUAUGCAUGUAGGGUUUAUGUGGGUUUUAUGCCCAAUGCAUGUUUAUGUGAUGUUAUGUUGAAAGUUUAAGUUAGUUUAUACAUGUGGGAGAGUGUAUGCAUGAUUGGGAAAGAGCAAGUGAGAUUAUGGGGUGUUUUGAUGAUUUUGGCCUAUGUGGGUCAUAAGCUAUCUAUGCAUGCUUUGGAUGUUGUUUUUGGAGUUUAAAUCUAGUUGUUAAGCUCCUUUAUGCAUGACUAAGGGUUUAUGCAUGGUUUUGAGAAGUUUAUGCAUGUUUUA